GGGGGGGGGGGGGGGGGGGGGUGGGGGGGGGGGGGCGAGCGGGGGGGCGGUGGUGGGGGGGGGGGCUGGGGGGGGGAACGGGGGGGGAACACGUGAGUAACCUGCCCUGGACUUUGGGAUAACUUCGGGAAACUGGGGCUAAUACCGGAUAGGAGCGCCUCCUGCAUGGUGGGGGUUGGCAAGUUUAGGCGGUUGGGGAUGGACUCGCGGCUAAUCGGCUUGUUGGUGGGGUAGUUGCUGACCGAGGCCUUGACGGGUAGCCGGCCUGAGAGGGUCGAUGGCCACAUGGGGACUGAGAUACGGCCCAGACUCGUACGGGGGGCAGCAGGGGGGAAUAUUGCACAAUGGGCGGGAGUGGGAUGCAGCAACGCCGCGUGCGGAAUGACGGCCUUCGGGUUGUAAACCGCUUUAGCCUGUGACGAAGCGUGAGUGACGGUAAUGGGUAAAGAAGCACCGGCUAACUACGUG
rnacentral:rRNA from 1 species